rnacentral:rRNA from 1 species
UACGGAGGGUGCAAGCGUUGUUCGGAAUCACUGGGCGUAAAGCGCGUGUAGGCGGCCUUUUAAGUCCGAUGUGAAAGCCCGGGGCUCACCCCCGGAAGUGCAUUGGAUACUGAAGGGCUGGAGUGCCGGAGAGGAGGGUGGAAUUCCUGGUGUAGCGGUGAAAUGCGUAGAUAUCAGGAGGAACACCUGUGGCGAAGGCGGCCCUCUGAACGGAUACUGACGCUGAGACGCGAAAGCGUGGGGAGCAAACAGG